rnacentral:piRNA from 1 species
UUAUGACUUGCAGGGUCUGAUAGUACCCAG